rnacentral:rRNA from 1 species
GUCCUCUUGAUAAUAAUUUGAGGUUUAACCUGCCCACUGAGGAUUUUAACGGCCGCAGUAAUUUGACUGUGCAAAGGUAGCAUAAUCAUUAGUUUUUUAAUUAAAAGCUUGUAUGAAGGGUUGGACGAGGUAAAAUCUGUCUCUAUUUAAUUUAUAGUAGAAUUUAAUUUUUAAGUUAAAAAGCUUAAAUUUAAAUAAAAGACGAGAAGACCCUAUAGAUCUUUAUAAUAUUUAAAUUAAUUUUAAUUAAGAAUUUUUUAUUAAUUAAUUUAAAUAUUAUUUUAUUGGGGUAAUGAAAAGAUUUAAAAAAUUCUUUUUUAAUUUAUACAUUGAUUAAUGAAUAAAUGAUCCAAUUAUUUUGAUUAUAAGAUUAAGUUACCUUAGGGAUAACAGCGUAAUUUUUUUAGAGAGUUCUUAUCGAUAAAAAAGUUUGCGA